GGGGAUAGCUCAAGUGGUGGAGUUCAUGCUUAGCAUGCAUGAGGUCCUAGGUUCAAUCCCCAGUAUCUCCU
rnacentral:tRNA from 1 species